rnacentral:rRNA from 1 species
UGGGUUAGUGGCGGACGGGUGAGUAACGCGUGGGUAACCUGCCUUACACAGGGGGAUAACACUUAGAAAUAGGUGCUAAAACCGCAUAAGCGCACAGCUUCGCAUGAAGCGGUGUGAAAAACUCCGGUGGUGUAAGAUGGACCCGCGUCUGAUUAGCUAGUUGGUGGGGUAAUGGCCUACCAAGGCAACGAUCAGUAGCCGGCCUGAGAGGGUGAACGGCCACAUUGGGACUGAGACACGGCCCAAACUCCUACGGGAGGCAGCAG